rnacentral:rRNA from 1 species
GACGAACGCUGGCGGCGUGCUUAAUACAUGCAAGUCGAACGGAAAGGCCCUGCUUUUGUGGGGUGCUCGAGUGGCGAACGGGUGAGUAACACGUGCGUAACCUGCCCUUGACUUCGAGAUAUCUUCAUGAAACAGGGGCUAUUACCGGUAAGGAGCUCCUGCUCAAUGGUGGGGGUUGGAAAAAUUUGGUGGUUGUGGCUGGACUCGCCGCUUAUCCGCUUGUUGGUGGGGUAAUGGCUAACCAUGGCUAUGUCGGGUAGCCGGCCCGGGAGCGUGACCGGCCACAUUGGGUCUGAGAUACGUCCCAGAAUCCGGCGGGAGGCAGCGGUGGGGAAUAUGGCACAAUGGGCAGGAGUCUGAUACAGUAUCGUGGUGUGCGAGAUGACGGCCUUCGGGUUGGAAACCGCUUUCGCCUGUGGCGUUGCGUGAGUGACGGUGAUGGGUAAAGAAGCGCCGGCUAACUACGUG